rnacentral:rRNA from 1 species
ACGAAGGGGGCUAGCGUUGCUCGGAAUUACUGGGCGUAAAGGGAGCGUAGGCGGACAUUUAAGUCAGAGGUGAAAUCCCGGAGCUUAACUUCGGAACUGCCUUUGAUACUGGGUGUCUUGAGUGUGAGAGAGGUAUGUGGAACUCCGAGUGUAGAGGUGAAAUUCGUAGAUAUUCGGGAGAACACCAGUGGCGAAGGCGACAUACUGGCUCAUUACUGACGCUGAGGCUCGAAGGCGUGGGGAGCAAACAGGAUUAGAUACCCUGGUAGUCCACGCCGUAAACGAUGAUUGCUAGUCGUCGGGAAGCUUGCUUCUCGGUGACGCAGCUAACGCAUUAAGCAAUCCGCCUGGGGAGUACGGUCGCAAGAUUA